UACCGCGAAGAACCUUACCUACUCUUGACAUCCAGAGAAUCCURCGGAGACGUGGGAGUGCCUUCGGGAACUCUGAGACAGGUGCUGCAUGGCUGUCGUCAGCUCGUGUUGUGAAAUGUUGGGUUAAGUCCCGCAACGAGCGCAACCCUUAUCCUUGUUUGCCAGCACUUCGGGUGGGAACUCCAGGGAGACUGCCGGUGAUAAACCGGAGGAAGGUGGGGACGACGUCAAGUCAUCAUGGCCCUUACGAGUAGGGCUACACACGUGCUACAAUGGCGCAUACAGAGGGCGGCCAACUUGCGAAAGUGAGCGAAUCCCAAAAAGUGCGUCGUAGUCCGGAUUGGAGUCUGCAACUCGACUCCAUGAAGUCGGAAUCGC
rnacentral:rRNA from 1 species